CACUGCGCGAAGCAAAGCAGGACAUCGUUGUUGUAAAUGUGCACCUGGUCGAAUCAAGUAUAAACGAGGUUGGUUUGCUAGCUUUCAGUCGGCUAGCUAGUCAACGAACACCAUUUAGCCGUCCAACUACUGUAUAUGCCUGUGUCAAUUGAGCUUUUAUUGACCUUCAAAGGGCGAUUUAAGGGGUUUUGCGUGUGUCAUGCCGUAACAGAAGAGCGCAGAUGGGGAAAGCUGUGAAAGGUGACGAUAACCGUAGAACAGGAAAUGGAAUUGAAUACAAUGGUCAGUAAUGUUACAUUGAUGAGACAUUACCUUCGAUGACAUGACCUUAACACUGCAUGGAGUCAGGCAUGACAGAGUGGAGUGAAAAAGGUUCUCCUCCCAUUCUGUGUGGAAGUGGCCUUGCACCCGGCGGCUAAAGGCGACUCAGGUUCAUUGAAUGGAGGUGCCAGUUUAAGCUUUUACGGUUUUUCUCUGGCAUCAGCAGACAAUUUCUGAUGAACAAAGAAUGCUGGAUGAAGAGCAAAACUGGCCUGCAGAGCCGCUGUCCACGGGGAGAAAUGGUUUUCCUUUGAUGGCCGUUGCUUUUUAAGCCCCGCGGCCGGCCUGAGCUUUAACAUCUGCUCCUGUCGCAACCAGGGGAUGAGGUGCGCAACACAACACGACACCGUGCCACAGUAAUCUACAGCCUGCCACACAUAAACACAAACUGUAUUUACUAGUUAAGGACACAUUGCAUUUCCCCCACAAUAUUAGCAAUAUAAUAUUUUAUAUUUAUAUUAUAUUGCAAUAUAAAAUGCAGAUUUUGUCUAAAACAAAAGCAAAACUAAUCGGUUCAUAUCUACAGUAAAUGGUCUAAAAGGUGUUGGAGAAGAAAUUCUCCGCAACCUAAUUGAGGCCUCCAAGACCACUUGUUUAAGUACAUUUCAUCUCCCCAAGCGUAUUCGUUAAUCUCCACUUAUGAGAAGGAAUAAAACUCACUCACUAGUAAAAGUUAACAUCAUGUAUUGUAAAAUUGGUCAGACAGAAGAAAAUCACAAAAACAGGAUCCUGGGCUGAGUUACUCUUCCAAUGUCCGCCUGCAGCCUCCCGACGAUAAGAAGGAAAGUCAGCCCCGAAUAUUUUUGUAGAUCUCCUUAGAUGGGGUAGAGUUGGGGGUAUGCGUGGGGGAUGGACCAGGAUCCCGUUCCCGGACCAGAUACUUCCUCCUUCACCCCAUUAUCUUCAUUGCCUUCUGAGUAAAUAACCGUAAAUACCUGAGACCUUCCUGGCCUUUUGGUUCUCCCCCAACUAAAAAUGUCCCAUUGAUAGCAUUGUUUAUGAUCAUACUGAUCUUAAAAGGAAAGUGCACUUUUUUGUUUAAUUGUUUAAUUUCUGUGUGUAAUUUUGCCCAUCACCCACAAUAC